rnacentral:misc_RNA from 1 species
GUGAAUCAUCGAAUUUUUGAACGCAAAUUGCACUCUCUUCAGAGAGUAUGCCUGUUUGAGGGUCAGCCUAAAAAAAAUCGACGUAGUCGCUGUUUCGCGGUGACAUUCGUCGGAAAUUGGGUCAUCUUAAACCUUUGGGUUUUUUAAGCGGUAUAAUUUUCUCUAUGAUUUUACACAAACGUUUAU